GAUGAACGCUAGCGGCAGGCUUAAUACAUGCAAGUCGUGGGGCAGCAUGAAGUAGCAAUACUUUGAUGGCGACCGGCAAACGGGUGCGGAACACGUACACAACCUUCCUUUUAGUGGGGAAUAGCCCAGAGAAAUUUGGAUUAAUACCCCGUAACAUAGCGAUGUGGCAUCACAUUGCUAUUAUAGCUUCGGCGCUAGAUGAUGGGUGUGCGUAUGAUUAGAUAGUUGGCGAGGUAACGGCUCACCAAGUCUACGAUCAUUAGCUGAUGUGAGAGCAUGCUCAGCCACACGGGCACUGAGACACGGGCCCGACUCCUACGGGAGGCAGCAGUAAGGAAUAUUGGUCAAUGGACGAAAGUCUGAACCAGCCAUGCCGCGUGAAGGAUUAGGGUCCUCUGGAUUGUAAACUUCUUUUAUAUGGGACGAAAAAAGGUCUUUCUAGAUCACUUGACGGUACCAUAUGAAUAAGCACCGGCUAACUCCGUGCCAGCAGCCGCCGUAACAC
rnacentral:rRNA from 1 species